GACGAACCGUCCAAACGUUAUUCGGAAUUACUGGGCUUAAAGGGUGCGUAGGCGGCGCGGUCAGUCGGAUGUGAAAUCGCUCAGCUCAACUGAGCAACUGCGUCUGAUACUACCGUGCUUGAGGAAGGCAGAGGUGAGCGGAACUCAGGGUGGAGCGGUGAAAUGCGUUGAUAUCCUGGGGAACACCGGUGGCGAAGGCGGCUCACUGGGCCUUUUCUGACGCUGAGGCACGAAAGCUAGGGUAGCGAACGGG
rnacentral:rRNA from 1 species